CCCGCCCUGAGGCCCCAGAAGGGCCCGCGGGGAGGCCAGGCGUCUGCUUCCCUCCUCAGAACCCGCUGUCCUCCUGCAAGUGACCCUGGGAAAGCCUCUGGGCCGCUCUCUGCCUCCGCCCCUCAUCUGCGCAUAGGGUCGCAGACAUAGGUGUCCCGUGAGGUGCGAACUCCUUCCUCCUUGGGUCGGAAGCUUGAUUCCCUGCCCUCUCACCUGGUAACUUGGAGAGCCACCUUGUCCUGACCUCACCUGUUAGAGGGGGACGAUGGUGGAACAUAUUUUGGAGCUCCCUGUGAAGAAGAGGGAAAAUCCCCUACUCAUUUAAAACCCUUGACUAGCCCAUGCCAGCCCUCGGGCCCCCUGCACCGUCAGACACUCCCUGUUUCUGAUGCUGGGGGUUCCAGUCCUAGCCUUUGUUAUAGUUCACCAAAGUACUGAAUAUCCCUGUGGAUAAAAUGAGAGUUCCUGGGGCCAGGAUUCUCACCUGGCCCUGGUUGGCUAGCUCACUGCACACCUGUGGGCAGUACAUGGCUGUUGACUUUA